rnacentral:rRNA from 1 species
GUUGGGUAGGGGAGCGUUGUGUAAGCUGAAGAAGGUGGUUCGAGAGGGCUGCUGGAGGUAUCACAAGUGCGAAUGCUGACAUAAGUAACGAUAAAGCGGGUGAAAGGCCCGCUCGCCGGAAGACCAAGGUUUCCUGUCCAACGUUAAUCGGGGCAGGGUGAGUCGGCCCCUAAGGCGAGGCUGAGAAGCGUAGUCGAUGGGAAAUGGGUUAAUAUUCCCAUACUUGGAUAAACUGCGAUGUGGGGACGGAGCAGGUUAGGUUAGCGUACGGAUGGAAGAGUACGUUUAAGUUGGUAGGUGGGGUGUUUAGGCAAAUCCGGACACCUGAUAACACUGAGAGAUGAUGACGAGGCUCUACGGAGCUGAAGUAACUGAUACCCAACUUCCAGGAAAAGCCACUAAGCUUCAGGUUUAUCUAAACCGUACUGGAAACCGACACAGGUGGUCAGGUAGAGAAUACUAAGGCGCUUGAGAGAACUCGGGUGAAGGAACUAGGCAAAAUAGCACCGUAACUUCGGGAGAAGGUGCGCUGGCGUAGUGUGAAGUUCUUCGCGAAUGGAGCAUGAACCAGUCGAAGCGACGAGCUGGCUGCAACUGUUUAAUAAAAACACAGCACUCUGCAAACACGAAAGUGGACGUAUAGGGUGUGAUGCCUGCCCGGUGCUGGAAGGUUAAUUGAUGGUGUUAUCGAAAGAGAAGCACCUGAUCGAAGCCCCAGUAAACGGCGGCCGUAACUAUAACGGUCCUAAGGUAGCGAAAUUCCUUGUCGGGUAAGUUCCGACCUGCACGAAUGGCAUAAUGAUGGCCAGGCUGUCUCCACCCGAGACUCAGUGAAAUUGAAAUCGCCGUGAAGAUGCGGUGUACCCGCGGCUAGACGGAAAGACCCCGUGAACCUUUACUAUAGCUUGACACUGAACCUUGAAUUUUAAUGUGUAGGAUAGGUGGGAGACUAAGAAGCGGUAACGCCAGUUAUCGUGGAGUCGUUGUUGAAAUACCACCCUUUAACGUUUGAUGUUCUAACGAGGCGCCUGGGACAGGUGUUCGGACAGUGUCUGGUGGGUAGUUUGACUGGGGCGGUCUCCUCCCAAAGCGUAACGGAGGAGCACGAAGGUUGGCUAAUGACGGUCGGACAUCGUCAGGUUAGUGCAAUGGUAGAAGCCAGCUUAACUGCGAGACGGACAAGUCGAGCAGGUACGAAAGUAGGUCAUAGUGAUCCGGUGGUUCUGAAUGGAAGGGCCAUCGCUCAACGGAUAAAAGGUACUCCGGGGAUAACAGGCUGAUACCGCCCAAGAGUUCAUAUCGACGGCGGUGUUUGGCACCUCGAUGUCGGCUCAUCACAUCCUGGGGCUGAAGUAGGUCCCAAGGGUAUGGCUGUUCGCCAUUUAAAGUGGUACGCGAGCUGGGUUUAGAACGUCGUGAGACAGUUCGGUCCCUAUCUGCCGUGGGCGUUGGAGGAUUGAGGGGGGUUGCUCCUAGUACGAGAGGACCGGAGUGAACGCACCGCUGGUGUUCGGGUUGUCAUGCCAAUGGCAUUGCCCGGUAGCUAAGUGCGGAAGAGAUAAGUGCUGAAAGCAUCUAAGCACGAAACUUGCCCCGAGAUGAGUUCUCCCUGACAAAGAGUCAGUAAGGGUUGUUGAAGACGACGACGUAGAUAGGUGGGGUGUGUAAGCGGUGUGAGCCGUUGAGCUAACCCAUACUAAUUGCCCGAGAGGCUUAACUAUACAACGCUGAAGGGUUUU